GCCAGUUCUUUGGCAGAGGACAUUUAGACUGUUUCUAAUCUUUUGCUAGUAGGAACAAUGCUACAGUGAAUGCCUUGAAUGAAUGCCAUUUUGUUCAUGUAUGAGAACACCUGCAGGAUAAAUUCCUGGGAGAAAAAUUGCUAAAUCCAAGGGCUAGCAGUGUGUGACACCAUAACAAAGUUUAAGGGCAGCACGUCUCACACAUGCGGGUGAAUACUCAGUCAUCAUGCUUAUAAACUACAGAAGGAUCUGAAUGAGUUUCUAGAAUAAUUCCUAGUCUAAAGGUUCCUCCAAGGCAGAGCCGAUCUCCACUGCCCUUUAUCUCCUACCGCUAAGAGCAGUAGCCAACCCUGCACUUGACGGAUCAGCUGGUACCACCUAGAUCAAUAAACUGACUCCUCUGACCUUGUGGCCCUCCACCCAGGAACUGACUUAGUGCAAGAAGACAGCUCCAACUCCCUAUGAUUUCAUCCCUGAGCAAUCAGCACUCCUGGCUCACUGGCUUCCCCCAACCCACCAAGUUGUCCUUAAAAAAUCCGCUCCACGAAUGCUCCGGAGUCUGAUUUGAGUAAUAAUAAAACUCUGGU
rnacentral:lncRNA from 1 species